UCCCUGGUGGUCUAGUGGUUAAGGACCCUGCACUCUCACUGGUGCGGCCCGGGUUUGAUUCCCAGGCAGGAAA